CCGGGUUUAGCCAAGCGGUAAGGCACUCAGCCGUCAAUCUGAGCCAUCGUGGGUUCGAAUCCCCCAACCUGGG
rnacentral:tRNA from 1 species